rnacentral:misc_RNA from 1 species
GGCUCGCGACGCGACUCUCCGCUCCGGAUACUCGACGACUUCGUCGUCAACGCGCCACCGCUGUCGCCGUCGUCUUCGUGGUCGUCGUCGCGAUACAUACACACGCACGCUCUCCGCGAGAGAAGGAAUUCGCAGUGCCACGUUUCGAGGCGCCCGGUCGUCGCCGUGUCGCCGUGCAGCGCGCGUGUGUCCGCGCGGUACGAGGAGUAGUGAACUGUACUCGCGCGCCGGACGAUGCGGAGAGCAAGCAGGCAGCGGUCGCUCGCUCGUGUUUCCGACCUGGUGUGUCUCCGUUCUCGCGGGUGUCAGUGACAUUAUUCUAGUCUAGUUUUCCAUCCCCGCGUUGUCACUGACGGCACGCAACGAGUCGGGUAUUUUUCGAGAAUUCACAAAGUGCCAUAUAGAAGAGCGAAACGACACAGAGCAGCAUUUGCGUACGACGCGCGGUGGAUUGGAAUCCGACGAGGGAGAGAAUCCUUGGCCGAUUCCUGACCAGCAGCAGGGUUCGAGAGAUCGAUUGCGUUCCAGCCGAAGCUGGUGCACGUCGCCCGUGGUAACCCUGCGACGAAUAAUCGACAGAUCUCUCGACGGAGGCUCGCGCGUUGAGCGAGCAAAUUCCGGCGUGCUGUCGAUCGGCAAUAAAACCCCGAACACAGGUCCCCCGAGGACCUGUUCAACGAACGACCGAAACCGAAAAUCGAAAGUUCCUUCGAGAGCGUGUACCUCGAGAGGAACAGAAGUUCACGAAAAUGUGAGGGAUACUCACGUACUCGCGCCAAGAUUGGAAUCCAGCGAGAUAUUAAGAGGAGAUACCUGGUGGGUGCUUUUUCUUAUGAAUACCGAAUGGUGAAACGCGGCUAGACACGAAUAAUCGACUGACUCACACGAAGAGGGAAGGGCCGCCGACUGUUAUCGGGGCGGCGGAGAACAGUGUCGGUUCCGCGUUCGUGCCGUGAGUGUGUCAUGAUAGUUUUCCGCGGCCGGGCAUGAACGUUGAAACCUGCACCCUCUACUUCGCUGGGACGGCCCGGGGCCCGGAGAAGGACAGGAUGUCGACCCAGGCCUACUAUAAGGAGCGGCUCGGCUUCGACCCGGCGGACACCGUUGCCGAGCACCAGCGCGAGCAACGCUCCCAGCACGGUUACGAGGAGUCGCUCUCCAAGUUCAAAGACGAACGAGAUGCUAUACAGAAGAAGACCUUCACGAAGUGGGUGAACAAGCAUUUGAAAAAGCACUGGAAAUACGUCAAGACUUACACGUGCCUACACGUGUGCGUCCUUGUGAACAACCAACCAUGCUGUUCCCCCACUGCGAGCAGACAUGUCGGCGACCUGUUCGAAGAUCUACGAGAUGGCCACAAUCUCAUCUCCCUGCUGGAAGUGCUCUCCGGCGAGCAUCUUCCGCGGGAGAAAGGUCGAAUGCGUUUCCACAUGCUGCAAAACGUGCAGAUGGCCCUCGACUUUUUACGAUACAAGAAGAUCAAGUUGGUCAACAUCCGGGCAGAAGACAUUGUGGACGGUAACCCGAAGCUCACUCUCGGUCUGAUAUGGACCAUCAUUCUGCACUUCCAGAGCUGGCGACGCAAGAUAUCAGACAUAGUGGUCGGCCAGGAACCGAACGUGACAGCGCGCGAGGCUCUCCUGAGAUGGGCUCGACGAUCCACCGCGCGUUACCCUGGUGUACGGGUGACCGAUUUCACCAGUUCUUGGAGAGAUGGACUGGCUUUCAGCGCUCUUCUGCACAGAAAUCGGCCAGACCUGGUUGACUGGAGGUCGGCGCGUGGAAGCCAGCCACGAGAACGGCUUGAUCGAGUCUUCUUCGUCGCGGAGCGCGAGUAUGGCGUUACUAGGCUUCUCGAUCCAGAAGAUGUUGACACACCCGAGCCGGAUGAGAAGUCCUUAAUAACGUACAUCUCUUCGCUCUACGACGUAUUCCCGGAUCCUCCGACCAUUCACCCACUGUAUGACGCCGAAGCACAAAGGCGAUCUGCGGAAUAUCGCGAGUUGGCGAACUCACUCCACAUGUGGAUCCGCGAGAAAAUGGCUCUCAUGCAAGAGCGAGCCUUCCCGCCAACCUUGAUCGAAAUGAAAAAAUUGGCGGCUGACAGCACCAAGUUCAAGAACGAGGAAGUGCCGCCGCGAUACAGAGACAAGCAAAGAUUGACGUACAUAUUCCGAGAUCUGCAAAAGUACUUCGAAGCAGUAGGGGAAGUGGACAUGGAUGCAGAACUGCACAUUAAUGUCAUGGACAAGAAUUGGAAUCGUUUGAUGAUGCUACAUCAGGAACGCGAGCAGGCCAUUAUAGACGAAAUUAAACGACUCGAACGUCUGCAACGACUUGCCGAGAAAGUGCACCGCGAGAUGAAAACGACCGACAAUCGACUCGAGGAACUCGAGAGACGCGUGGAGGACGAGGCUCGCAGGCUCGAUCGUCUUCAUCCUCUGGAGGCGAAACAUGCGGUGGAUCUGCUGGAGCAAGACAUACGCAGCACGGAAACCCAGAUAAAAAAUAUAUUCACCGAUGUGCACACCCUCACAGAGGGCAGAUACAGUCAGGCAUCCGAGCUUCACAAGAGAGUGCAAAAAUUGCAUCAAAGAUGGGUCGUACUGCGAUCCCUUUUGCAUAGACGUUUGGUAGAGCCGCUCUCCGCGGUUUCCUUCCCCGUAGAAGAGCGCGUGGUUACAAAGCACCGCACCACCGUCCACGAGACACGCUUGGUCGAUACCAAUCCUCAUUUCCGUGCGCUGCACGACUGCAUAGAUUGGUGCAAGAGUAAAUUGAAGCACCUGCAAGAAGCGGAUUACGGAUCGGACUUAACCAGCGUACAGAAUGAAUUGGACGUGCAUCACAGAGAGCACAAGAACAUCGAUGACUUCCAGACCAAGGUGGACAAGUGUAUACAGGCAAAGAACAAUUUCCACGGCGAAGAACUCACGUUGUACACCCAGCACCUCGGCACUCUACAAAAGCUCUACGCCGAACUUCUCGCUGUCUCGAAUAAGAGACUCUCCGAUCUGGACACUCUGCACGAUUUUAUACAAUCGGCCACCGGCGAAUUGGUGUGGUUGAACGCCAAGGAGGAAACCGAAAUCACGCGUGAUUGGAGCGAUAAGAACUUGAAUGUACAGAGCAUCGAACACUACUAUGAGCAAACGUAUGGAUCUGGUAUAGAGUCUUUGAUGAGCGACCUGGAGAAGCGCGAGAUACAAUUCUCAGCGGUACAAGAUCGCGGUGAGGCAUUGGUCCUUCAGCACCAUCCCGCGGCGAAAACCAUCGAAGCCUACAUGUCCGCGAUGCAGACUCAGUGGGCUUGGCUGUUGCAGCUCACUCUCUGCCUCGAGGUGCACCUGAAACACGCGGCGCAAAAUCAACAAUUCUUCAAAGACAUUCAGCAGGCCGAACAGUGGAUCUCUAAACGAGAUGAGACAUUGAAUACCAUUUACUCGCAAUCUGAUUUCUCGUUGGACGAGGGAGAACGGCUGCUGAAGGGCAUGCAGGAGUUACGCGAGGAACUCAAUAAUUAUGGCGAUCACGUACAGAGAUUGGUGGAAAGAGCGAAGGAUAUCGUUCCCAUGAAGCAACGCAAGCAACCUGUUGUGCGACCGUUACAGGUCACUUGUAUUUGCAGUUACAAACAAGUCAACAUGUCAAUCGAGAAAGGAGAACAAUGCACAUUGUACGACAAUUCUGGCAGAGUCAAGUGGCGGGUAAAGAACACGCAGGGCGUGGAGUCUCCUGUGCCUGGUGUCUGCUUCGCGCUGCAGCCUCCCGAUAAGGAAGCUCUGGACGCCGCCGAGAGGCUGAGACGACAGUACGACAGGAGCGUCGCUCUCUGGCAACGAAAGCAACUGAGAUUGAGACAAAACAUGAUAUUCGCGACCAUCAAGGUGGUCAAGGGCUGGGACCUGUCACAGUUCCUGGCAAUGGGGCAGGAUCAACGUACGGCAAUUAGAAAAGCUUUGAACGAGGACGCGGAUAAGUUGCUCUCUGAGGGCGAUCCGGCGGAUCCGCAAUUGCGAAGAUUGAAACGAGAGAUGGCGGACGUGAAUCGACUGUUCGAUGAUUUCGAGAAGCGCGCCAGGGCCGAGGAGGAGUCGAAGAAUGCUGGACGUAUCUUCAACGAUCAGGCGUCCUCGCUUCAGCAGGCCCUCGACGAAGCCGAGAGAGUGUUGAACGCGCGUAUUGCCGCACCUCUGCCGCGGGAUCUCGACAGUCUGGAACAUCUGGUGCUGGAGCACAAAGACUACGAGCAGAAUCUGCAGCGUCUGGCACCGGACGUGGAACAGAUGCAACAGACGUUCCGCGGAAUCACACUGAAGACUCCGGCAAUGAGGAACAAACUCGACAACAUCACGACCAAGUGGAAUCACUUGUGGAAUCUUAGCAGUCUAUACAUUGAGCGUUUGAAGUGCGUUGACAUCGUGCUGGCCAGCCUCGAGGAAAACACUGCGGCCAUUUCCGAGUUCGAGAUCAAACUCGCCUCCUUCGGCGAGUUACCGUCAGACGUGGAAGGUCUGCAGAGCGUGUUGGAGGAUUUGAUGGUUUUGCAAAACGCCACCGACCAACAGCAAGCUUCGGUGGAUCAGCUGAACGAGCACGCGCAUAACGCGAGGCGUCUCGUGGAGAAAUCAAGACCGAAUUAUCGCGGUCCGCACGGCGAUAUGGACCGACUGGACGCCGAAGUCAAUAAACUAAACGCACGAUGGACGAACGUCUGCGGACAGUUGGUGGACAGACUGCGCAGCGCCGAAACGGCCUACGGAUUGGCGCAGCAGUAUCAGAAAUCGUAUCAGAACGAAGUGGACUUCGUCGAUGAAUCGUACAGCAAGUUGGAGCUGGAGAACACAAAGAACCUGCUGAGCAAGGUGCUUGAUCGCGCGCCGGCAAUCGAGGCGGUGAACCUCACGGGUGGCAGACUGAUCCGCGAGGGAAAGAUCUACGGACAAUGGCUCCGAGCAUUCAAAGAACAAUUGGAAGAUAUCUGCCCGUCGUUGGACGCAUCGGUGAAGAGGCCGCGGAGAGAUUCCGUUAUUACGGUCGAUAAUGUUGCGCGCGAUCUAGAUACGCUGAAUCGGAGAUACACGACCCUCGUGAACCUGCUUGAGGAACGUGUCAGGCAGCUGGCGCUACUCCAUCCUGAGGACACAUCCUUGCUGCGUAUUCUUCAAGAACAAAGGCCGCUGCGGACGUUCCGCACAGAGUUCAACAUAUACGAAAGUACUACUAGCGAGGAGCGUUACACAUCCACAACCACACACUACACCCAGUCGCAAUACACCUCCGAGAGACAUGAGUCCACCGAGACGACUUUCUCGAGCGAGACUUCAAAGCGAAAUUACAACGCGGAGCAAGGUGCGUAUCGUCCUAAUGGCGAGACCACCAGCCCGGGGGCCGGCUCACCUAUCGGUGGUAGCCUGCUCAAACGCUCGUACGAGCACGAUAUGACGACGAGCUCCAGCAACAGGCGACAACAUCAACAGCACCAGCAGCAGGAGUUCUCGUCAGUCGUCGAUGGCGGCAAUAGCGAAUUUAGGGGCCUUAGGGUACCUAGGAGGGAUGGGGAUGUUGGCGCGGAGAACGUGAUUGAUGUUAGGGGUAUCGUAGAUCCGAGCAGCGGUGAGAUCCUGACCGUGGGUGAGGCGAUCCGACUCAGGAUCCUCGAUGUUAGGAAUGGUAGGAUAGUAACAUCGAGCGACGGCAGGACCAGCAUGUCGAUCGAGGAAGCGGCGCGCAACGGCCUCAUCGACGCGACGCUGGCCGAUCGGCUGUUAGGUCCGUGUGGAGUGAUGGAGGAGGGUCGUCGAGUAUCCCUUCUUGAAGCGAUCCAGCGGGAGCUCUACGACGCCGAGCGAGCCGACAUCGCGGACCGAAUUAAGGUAACGACGACGCGCCGCGAUCACGGCGCCGAUCGCGGCGCCGGCACGGGGAUUAGCGUUGUCGAUGCGAUGAGGAAAGGCUUGUUGGACCCAGCUACAGGCGAAGUCGUCACCGAGAACGACGAGCGAAUCUCGAUCGAAGAGGCGUAUUCGCGCGGGUACCUCACCAAGGUAGACGUGACCGUUAAAGUAAGCCGCAAUGCCAUUGCGCUGUCCGAUGCGAUAUCGCAGGGUCUCGUGGACGAUCGGUCCGAUCGUAUCACUGACAGAAUCACCGGCGAGUCAUAUCCAUUGGAUGAAGCCGUCGACAGAGGUAUUAUCGAUCCGAACGUCAAAGAGAUCGUGGACACACGAAGCGACAUUAAGGUGACAGUAGCCGAAGCCAUGAAACGCGGUAUAUUGAACGCCAAAAGUGGUAAAUACUCGCACGGCUUGUCGAUGGAGAAGUUGUCGUUCAAAGAGGCACGUCGUCGACAAUUGAUCGUUAAACCAAUGACACUGAAAGAUUGUUGCGAUUGGGAGAUUAUUGAUGACAAAGGGAAAAUUGCAAGCCCGGCUCAUCGCAGCAAGUUGACGAUACUUGAGGCCAUAUCCCGAGGCGUUUUAGACUCGGAGAACGUCAAAUCCAUAGUGGACACUCGAACUGGUGAAAUGGUUACGUUAACCGAUGCCUUAACUAGUGGAAUAAUUAAAGUCGAGGGCACGUAUCGCGAUAUGCUGAAAAACGAGGAAUUGCAUAUCCCGCAAGCUGUUGAGAAGGGUUUGAUCACGUCGGUAACUCAAAAAACUAUUUUCGAUAUUGACGGUUUUAAAGAUCCGGUUUCUGGCGAAUACAUUAGCUUAAACGCGGCUCUGUUGAAAGGUUUGAUCAGCUCGAAACCCGGCGGUACUUUUACCAUCGAUCUGAAAACUGGAAGAACCGUUUCGCUUAGCGAAGCAGAGGAGCAAGGAUACAUCAGACCAGAAGUGUCAGAGAUGCUAAACCGCGGUAUUGGCAUUACCGAAAACGGACGCGAAGCAAGCGUUCUGGAAGCUGUAUUGCUCGGAUUGCUCGAUCCAAAGUCGGGUCAAUUGCUAGACCCACGUAGCAAAAGAAUAGUGCCUUUGGAGGAAGCAAUCAAGCGUGGACUCAUCACUCCUGAUGGCGCUGCACUGCUCACCAGUUUGCUGAACAUUGCGGUUACUACGCAAACCGUGACAAAGACCGUUAGGAAGUACGUAACGACGCUGCGAACUGGCGAAGUUGUUACGAGAGAUUACAAGAUCAGCUACGAGGAGGCAUUGAGCAGCGGAUUGAUCGAUGAGAGUAAAAAUGAGUUCAAGGAUCCAGAUUCGGGAGUGAUAAUGUCCAUCGAGGAUGCUGUUGAGCAAAGUCUUCUUAGCAGUGAUGCUUGCCGACAUGUUACUCACUUAUCCCGAGAGUGCACUCCAAAUUCAGCGCACACGACUUUCGAAAGUACCAUAACGGCAAAUAUCGAUGAUGUAUCUAGAAGUAGGAGAAGUGAAUCACCACCUAGAGCAAUUGGCACAGUUACUACGAUUAUUACUAAGGAAAUAACUCCACGAGCUUCAUCAACACCGACAAAAGAAACAUCCUCCGUUACAAUGACAAUUACACCAUCGUCAACAAUCGAUACCAUUUCUUUUGUAAAAGAUUCAACUCCAACUACGACGGAAAAUACUUUCUCGUCCACAAAAGUAAACGAGUCGACGAAGUGGACGUCCGAAAUAACAUCGAAAACGAGCAGGUCUGAAGAAGCACACGUAGUAAGUUACACAGAUGUUCCUAAAUCAUCUUUACAUGAGACACAAAAAAUGGAAACAGAUAUAAUGACAUCGAGUACACCAAGUACAAGUCACAAAUCGGAGAUCAUGAAAUUCAUAGAAAACGAACGCGGUUCCACUGAUAAACGAGUAUUCGAGUUGCCCGCGGACGGCUGGUCACUCGCGGAAGCUAUCGAUAGAAAACUAUUCGAUUCUGCAACAGGUCUUUUUAUAAUUCCGGGUACAGACAGAUUAGUGUCCUUUGAGGAAUGUAUUAAGCUUCAAAUUAUCAAUCCGAACUCGGGCUUUGUUAUCGAUCCUAACAACGGCAGGAAAGUGUCCCUGGUACGAAGUUUAGAGAAGAAUAUUUUGGAUUCCACAGGUCACUACAGUUAUCCACAAAAGAUCUCAAUGAGAGAAGCGAUCGCGAAUGGAUUAAUUAUAUUAGAAGGCAGACAGAGUGCUGAUUACGAUAAUACUAAUCAAAGGCUUCUUCAAAUCACAAGAGUUUUGGGCAAGCCCGACAUAGUGGAAUUAACGCACGUUGGUGAUUCCUCUCAGCAAAUGGAAAUAAAGACCGAUGAAGUUUCUAUGCCAGAUCCGAUACAAGUGGCUCAGGGAGUAAUUUAUGAUCCAGGAACAGCUCUGGUGAUUUCCACGAAAACAGGUAAAUCUGAAAGUCUCCUAACCGCUGUUUCUGACGGAACGAUACCGUCUACCGCUGUAAUUGUUAAAGAUCCAACGACUGGUAAAGGCAUUAGUAUAGCGGACGCUGUUAAUCGCGAUAUUCUUGACAUGAACACACAAGAAUACAAGAUCGACAAUGGCAGGAAGAUAUCAUUAAUCGACGCAACGAAGUUCGGAAUAAUAGCCGUUCUUGGCGCUCCUCUCGCGGCCACUGCUGCUGCCAUAGAAGCGGUACAGCGAACGAUGGUUAAGGAUCCCAUGACUGGUAAAAAGAUACCGAGAGAAGUCGCCAUUGAGCGUGGCAUCAUUCCGAUGGAUAGCAUAACUUCGCCUAUUGAAUCUGUAAGUGGUGUACUCGAGAAUAAGCAUAAAAAAGUUUCAGCGCAUGAUACGAUACAUCGUGAAUCUGAGAAAGUCUAUGUGCCUAAAGAGAGUACAAAAAGUGAGUUUUCAAAAUCCAUUGACACGCUAGACGGCGAGAGUCUGGGCACAAAGACCAGAGCACGAGUGACAAUCGAACCGAAAUACCAAGUUACGAUCGGCAAAGCGAGAACUUUGUCACCAAGUCCUGAGCGAGAGGCGAAGCCUAUCGUUCUUCAAAAGAUGCGAAAGAGGAUAGUGAAAGUAGAGGAGGCGUUGCAAAGUGGCCUCAUCGAUGUAGAAACCGCGGACACAUUUGCAAAACAGAUGUGCAACGAGAAAGGUGAACCAAUCGCUCUUUCGGAAGCUAUCCGCGAUAAUCGAAUAAAUGCUGAUCAGGGACAAAUCGUGGAUCCUCAGAGACGUGACGUACUCACCAUUAAGCAAGCCAUUGAUCGCGGAAUUUUAGAUCCGGAGAAUGCGCACAUAUUAGUACCUCUGGCGAAGAGUCUGUCCGUGCAUAGCUUGUAUACGCAAGGUUUAUUAGAUCCUUUGGAAGGCAAAAUCGUCCAUCCGGAAACGGGUGUGCAUCUCACUCUCAACGAGGCUAUAGUAUGCGAGAUAGUGGAUCCUUUGUCCAACUUGAUGUUUUCCGUGGACGGUCGUACAGAAACGUUGCAGUCAGCUAUCGCGAACGAUACCAUUGACGCAGACAAAUCGUUAGUUAAAACACAAGGCGGUAGCGUGAAUCUGGUGAAGGCGAUAGAGAAUAAAGUGUUUGAAUUGAAGGAUUCGAUCGAGUCUUCCGAUAUACCGCCGGCGGGAAUGACAUUCCCUGUUGCGCUGAAACGCGGAUUGAUAGACACCAGCAAGAAAGAAAUACGACAUCCAAUUACCGGAGAGCACUUGCCACUAGAAGACGCUAUAAAGGGAGACUUUAUAAUGGCACUACCGUGUCCAGUUGCGCCUGACAGUAUAGAAAUAACAAAAGCUUUGGAAUCGGGAUUGAUCGACAGGGACAACGCUAUAUUUUUCCAUCCUACUACAGGAACUCCCAUUCCUAUUGCCGAAGCCGUCGAAUCAGGUUUACUUAUCAUCAAACCGCCGACGCACGGUGAAAACACUAUAGCUGCCGUUACCGAAACGAUUACAUCGUAUCAUACUAUUACAACCAAGACCGUCGAGCUUCUGCCGGGUUAUGCGUUGAAGAGUGCGAUGGAAGUGCAAGAUAUCAAUACUGGUAAUAUCAUCACUAUCGAAGAAGCCCGACAACGAGGUAUCAUCAAGGAUGAAACAGAAAGCAAACGGGAAUUUACGACGAAAGACAUCAAAAUGUCAUUUGAUCACGCGGUAGAGAAAGGACUCGUGAAUAUGAAAACGGGUAUUUAUACAGAUCCUUGUACGGGCGCGACGAUGUCUAUCGCCAAGGCUGUCGAGGAAGGAAUCCUCGAUACUUCAUCCAGCAAAAGCGACUUUGGAUCACCUAGGAAAUCAUCCGAUGGCAGUAUGACCGUAUUAGAAGCAGUUGAACAGAUUUACGAUGAGGAAACCGGAACGUUUAAAGAUCCCGAGACAAACCAAUCUUACAACUUAACGGAAGCGAUGAAAAUCGGCCUCAUUGAGCCUGAUUCCGUGCUUUAUAACGUAAAGACAAAAGAAUCUAUCACCACAAAAGAGGCAGUCGAGAAAGGUCUGCUCGAUCCUGUUACUGGAAAAAUGAAAACCGUACGAGAUGAAAAGGACCGUCCGAUCAGCAUAGCGGAAGCUACGAAAUUGGGUCUCUUAGCAGUUGUUGCCGCGCCAGUGCUGGCUGGAAAAGCAGUAAUCGACGCUAUUUCCAGUUACAAAUCUAAGGAAAUAAAGCCGAGCGCAUCGAUGAUGACGAAACCGUCUGUCAUAACAAAGAAAGAACCAAGUCCACCCACGAUAAGCAUAAUAAAAAUGAAAGAACAAUCACCUUCGGAAAUAGAUGCAAAAAUGACAAUUUCUGAGUUGCCUGUUCGAGAGCAUGUAUCCGUUACAGUCAUUUCUAAAGAUGUUUUCCAUAGUGAGGUUUCUGAGAAAAGACAAGAAUCUUCGUAUACAGGAGAAAUCGAAAAAGGAGAGAUGGAAAUAGAAGAUGACGGUAAAUUACAGGAUAUUCCGGACGAAGAAGCACCUAGACAAGUUUCGAUAAUUAUUACAAAGGAAUUAACGCCUGAGGUCCUUGCAGAAUUCGGAGCGUUCGAUCUGGUGAGAGAAAAGUUUCUGGAUCCAGAGACAGGUGCGGUUACUUCUUUCAACGAUCUUGUUUUGAAUCUGAGAGUCUUUGAUCCUGAUCAGGUGCUUGUCAAGGAUCUCUCGUCCAAAACCGAGUCAUAUGUAAACCUACGCGAAGCGAUUAGCAGACCUCUCGUGGACCGAAACAUUGCCUAUAUGGUUAAUCCGAAGACUGGUAAGAAAAUACCAUUCUUCGAGGCGGUACGCUUGGGAUGGAUUAAGCAGGAACCGGAAGACGAAAUGGAAAGAGAACAACCUAUGGAUUCGCAAUCUUGGAAUUUGCAAGAAGCUAUCGAUGCUGGUAUAUGCAAUCCAGUUACGGGAACGAUUUUAGAUCCUAUAUCAGGACAAGCGAUGUCCAUGAGCGAAGCUAUCGACGUAGGUCGCAUUGAUGCUGAUACACUCGGUGUGAGAAAUCCAAUCACUGACGAGAUUGUACCGCUAUCCGAGGCGUUAGAAACCGGCAUGAUGGAUCUUCACAGAAAUGUUGUCACUAAUAUCGAAACAAGAACGGAGAUUGACAUUACGACUGCGUUUCUACGAGGUCUAAUUGUGCCCACCUCGCGCAAGCCGAUUUCGCUGGAAGCUAUUAUCAGAAAAAAUCUCUAUGAUGCUGAGACAGGUAAAAUACAAGAUUCUUUAACUAAACAAUUAAUCAGUAUCGAGGAGAGUGUUCGCAGAGGCAUUGUCGAUGCUUUCAUUACUGAGAUUCGAGACACAAAAGCUGGUUUGUCCGUUUCAUUGGAGGAUGCACUCACGAUGAAUCUGUUCAACUCUAAAACGGGUCGUUUGUGCGACACGAAAGCGGGAGAGCUCUUACCCUUGGAUGUAGCACUUAACAAAGGUUUGAUUAUCACAAUGCCGUUCGUGCCUUCGCUGAUCGAUGCAAUUAAUCAAGAGUACUAUUCGUCAAAAACGGGUCUUGUCCUGAAUCCUAUGACAGGCGAAGAUUUAACGUUGAAGGAAGCAUUAGCUGUGGGUUACAUUAACGGCUCCACAACAGUCAUAAAAGACGACAGAAAAGAUAAAGUUAUUCCUCUUAAUGAGGCCGAAGAAAGCAACUUGAUAGAUCUGGUGAAAGGAACACUGACUUAUCCACAUAUAAUGACAUUGGACAUUGCUUUUGAAAAGGGAUACAUCUUAAGUACUAUAAAACCGUGGACGUUACAAGAGGCUUUGGCUCUUCAGAUUUAUGAUUCAAAGUCCGGCACUUUUAACAUAGACGGAAAAAAUUAUGCUUUAGAGGAUGCGAUCGAGAAAGGUUUUAUUAGUAAAGAUAGUCCGUCAAUUAAGGAUCCGAGAAAUAAUGAUAUCAUAUCGUUGGGUGAUGCUAUCAAGCACGGCUUUAUUAACGCGAAGGCCGGUACGGCUAUAGAUCCCUGUACAAGCGCUCCUCUUUCGUUAACUGACGCAUUGGAUCGCGGUUUUAUAGUGCCAGCAAAACGUAAGAUAUCCUUGCCGGAAGCUGUGUUUAAAGGCUUAUACGAUCCCAAGACCGGGCAGUUCACAGUACCUGAUACACAAGAGAAACUUCCUACUGAUCGUGCGAUUAAGAUGGGCGUGAUAGAUGCCACAACCGCAAUCGUACGAGAUCCCAAUGGUGAUGUGAUAACGUUCAACAAGGCUAUCAAGACUUCGGUAGUCGAUCCUAAGACUGGAACAGUCAGUCAUGCCAGAGGACCGCCUGUGGACUUCCAGGAAGCAUUGGAACGCGGUUUGCUUCUUGAAACGAGGAGACCUAUGAGUUUCAGUGAAGCUAUUUCAAAGGGCAUUCUCGAUGAAAAAACUAAUAAGUUUCUAGAUCCGCAGACGGGCAUUUAUCUAACGAUAUUGGAAGCCAUUCAAAAAAAUCUGAUAGAUGCCGAUUCGGUUACUGUCAAAGACACGAGGUCUAGCAUUUGGAAGACAAUGACGCUGAUGGAAGCCAUACAAUCUGGUUACAUGGAUGGCACCACUGGCUAUAUUGGUGAUUCUAGCAAAAAUAAUAGAAAUGUGUCUCUAAGAGAUGCCUUCGAAUCUGGCCUCAUCGUUGACAGUAGAGCUGCUGUGUCGUUACAGCGCGCCAUCCAUCAAGGAUUAUAUGACGAUAACACUGGCAAGAUUACUGAUCCUAGCACGGGCAGAGCUGUGACGUUGCAUGAAGCGAUGCGGAAAUGCAUCAUUAGUCCCACAUUACCGUGUUACUGGGACAAACGUGGCGAGCGAUUGUUAUCUCUAGCAGAGACGUGUCGCGCUGGUGUGAUCGAUCGACGCACUGGAAUGUUCAAAGAACCAGGUUCCAGUGGCACAGUCUCAUUGUCAGUUGCGUUGCAGCUUGGUCUUAUAGUCGACAUCGAGAGUAUGGGAUUCGGUCUGUACGAAGCGAUAGUAAUGAACAUGUAUGACGUGUCGUCGGGCAAGUUCGUGCACCCGACUAACAACCGCAAGUUAACGUUAGCCGAGGCGUAUCAGAUAGAUAUGAUAAACCCGCUUAUAUCAAUUGUUAAAUGCAGCGAAUCGAAUAGAUACCUUCUGCUGGCGGAGGCUAUCUCUUCGGGUAUUAUUGAUGACAUUCGUGGUACGUACAUCAUCCGCGACAUCGACGAGGCGAUUAACUUGCAAGAGGCCGCAAAGAAAGGUUUUAUCGUUACGUCGAAAACACCUUUGUCGAUUGAAGAGAUGGUCAAAUGUCAUCUUUACCGAGGCGAUAGCGGCAAGUUUGCCAAUCCCAUGGCCAAUGAGUAUCACGAUCUACUUCAAGCGAUCAACUGCAAUCUUAUAGACCCUGAUACCACCGCCUUGAAAGAUGCGACAACCGGACAAAUCAAGUCGUUAUUGGUGGGUAUCGAAGAUGGAACGGUUGACGUGUCUCGAGGUAGAAUACUGGAUCCUAAAACAACACGUGCCUUCAAUAUCGAUAUUGCUUUGGAAAGAGGUCUAUUGGUCACGAUCGAUAAGCCUCUGACGCAACAACAUAGAUCACCUUUGGAGACCUCUAAACCUGGACUUGGUGACAAAAGUAUCAAAGAAUGUACCCUACAGGAAGCGAUCAACUAUGAAUUGAUCGAUCCGAACACGUCGUUCGUGAGAGAUCCCAGGAAUGGUCGGUUUAUAACAACGGCAAAAGCGGUAGCGGACAGUGUCGUGGAUCCAACCGUUAAAGGCAUGAUUGAGUUGAACGGUGGAAGCAAGAGAGAACCGCGUUUUGUGCGUUUCGGUGAUGUCAUCAUAUUUAUUAGGAAACCUAUCACUUUCGAGGAAGCGAUCGAGAAGGAGUAUCUAUCAUUGGAAUCGGGCAAAUUUACCGAUCCGGUUUCGAAUGAGCAAUUUACCCUCAAGGAGGCAGUAAGUCUCGGUAUUGUCGACUCGGACUCCGCGUUGAUUAAAGACUCGCAGAAGAAAAAGCUAGUAAAAUUGCCGGAAGGCUUCCGCAAGGGCAUGAUGGACGCAGAAAAGGGUAACGUGUUAGAUACGGCUACGUCGAAACUGUAUAGUUUGUCCAAGGCCCUAGAAAUCGGCCUGUUGAUAACCCCGAGAAACGGCGUUUCAUUCAUCGAAGCGCUGCAGUUCGGUCUCUACAAUCCGACCACGGGCGGUUUUCACGAUCCCUUCGUUGUCACUUCCGUACUAGAUCGCAAGCGCCUCACGCUGGCGGACGCGAUUGAGUCUGGUCUGAUCGAUCCAUCCACCACUGUGAUCAAAGAUCCGUUCACGAGUAAUAUCGAGAGUUUGUUAGAGGCAAUGAAUAGUGGGAAGGUAGAUUCCGUAGGCGGCAGGUUAGUCGAGGACACGGAUGGCAAGAGUAUCGACUUCAUGAAGGCCUUGGAGCGCGGUUAUAUACUCGCCGCUGAAGCCAGGCAAGCGGUGGAGGAGAAAUAUAGACUAUGUGACGAGACAUUGUCUAAGCUCCUGCAAUGGAUCUGCGAAAUUGAGGACAAGUUGGCGAGUCAAGAUACCGUCAAAGAAGAUUUAGAAAAACUGAGAAAGCAGAUAUUCACUAUGAAAGAAAUAAAAGAAGAUCUUGAAUCGCACAGUCGCCCCGUUUCAUCUUGCUUGGACCAAAUUCGACAAGUUGUCUUGACUGGCAGCAACGUGUUGUCCAGUGAUGAAGUGUCUACAUUAGAGAAGAACGGUCGAUCUCUAAAAACUCGAUUUGACAAGGCGUUAGAUCGCACUGACAAGUUAGUGAAACGUCUCACUGGCGCCAGAGACGAAUUGUCGAAAUUCAAGAAUGAAUUAACAACAUUCUCCAUUUGGUUGGACAAAGCCAGAAGCGUACUUGAGGAUAAGGAACGUUCCUUGUCCGAUCUGCACAAGCUGAGCAGCAGCACGGAUACUACUCGCGAUUUCAUCAGCGACGUGAUUGCACAUCAAGCGGAUCUGAGAUUCAUUACAAUGGCCGCACACAAGUUUUUCGAUGAAAGUAAACAAUAUCUCGAGGUUCUCAACGAUUUCAGGACUAGCUUGCCGCAAAGAUUGCCGCACAAGGAGCCUAUAGCUAGCCAAGACUCGCCCGUACGAGCCGAAGUGACCAACGCGACGGAGCGAUACAAAGAUCUGCUAUCCCGAGCAAAUCUUUUGUCGGACAGAUUGUCGGGAGUCGGCAGCAAACAAAGAGAUUAUUACGACUCUCUGGAUAAAGCUAGAGCAUGGCUGAAUGACAUCGAACCUAAAGUGCACAGAGUCAUUUCCGAACCUGUCGCCGCCGAACCGAAACAAGUGGAGGAUCAAUUGCACAAAGCCAAGGCGUUGUACAAUGAAUUUGUUAACGAGCGCCUAGUCGCCAAUGCUAAACACUGCGUUCGAGCUUUGCUGCACUCUUUGGAGGGCCAACUCACCAUCAAGGAGGUUAAUGAUCUCGAAGAACCAGUGAAGGCGCUGGAAGAUAAGUGCAAACAACUCAGUAACGCUUUGGCUGAGAAGUGUCAAGAACUUGACACGGCGCUGGUGAGGAGCCAAGGAGUACAAGAUGCAUUAGACGGUUUAGUUGCCUGGCUGAACAACGUUGAGAGUCAGUUUAAAUCGCUUCAACGACCGGCAAGUUUGCAAAAGGAACGCUUGGAAGAGCAGCAAAGAGAACAGCGAUUGCUUCAGGCGGAUCUGGAUAGCCAUCGUUUAAGCGUCGAUACCAUCACGACGAACGCUCAGGAUCUUCUUAAUUCGAGUAAUGAGCACGUCGCCAAACAUAUCAAGAACAAGUUGAAAGAUGUACGAAACAGAUUUGAGAAACUGAUGGACAAGUCCUUGAGACGCGGUGAAUUCCUGGACGAGAUAGCGCAAGCCCUGAACGAAUUCCUCGGAGAUGUAGCUAAGUUUGAGAGUUGGUACGCGCACAUGAUGGAGAUUCUGGAUUCGAGAGAUCUUAGCAAGCUCGACGUGUCGGACUACGAGGCCAAGAUGGCUCAGUUGAUCGACAUGCGUGAAGAUCAACGCGGCAGCUUCGAAGAUCUUAUACGCAACGGAAAGAACCUCAUCUCUAAGAAAGAUAUAACCGAAGCCGGUACAAUCAGGGAUAAGAUCAAGGCACUCGAAUCCCAAUGGAAGGAACUGAACAAUCUGAUCGACGAGAAACAACGAUUGUGCAAAUCUAGAGCUGAGCAGCACACGGCGUACGAAAAAUUGCGAGACCAGGUGCUCGACUGGCUCACUCGUACGGAGAACAAGGUGCAAGGUCUUGAACCGGUCGCCGUAAAUCUGGACAAACUGAAGAUGCAGCAAGAGGAACUGAAGCCGAUACAGAAAGAAUAUCGUGAUUACGGCAACACGGUCGACAAGAUCAACGACCUGGGUAUCGCUUAUGACAGUUUGAUGAAGGAGCGCGGUGAGAGCCCAACUCGUCGACGAGGCAGUACUAGCCCAACAAAGAGACCAGUACUGCGAAUGUCACAAGACGGUCGUUCACCGUCACCCACUAAAUCCUACGCAGUUCAAAGUCCGGUCUCCCCAGGUGGUAGCAGCGGAUUCAGCAGUCGUCGCUCGAGCCAGGAUGGUUUCCACCUGGAAGAAUUGUCACCGGUUCAGCAGCAGCUUUCGGAAAUUAAUCAUAGAUAUGGAUUACUUGGCGUCAGACUAUCAGAUCGUCAAACAGAAUUAGAUAAUAUUAGAGAGGAGUUGAAAAAACACCUGGAUCAUUUGAAAAUACUCUCUCAAUUCUUGGACAAGAUUCAGCGGCAGUUGCCUAAAGAGAGCAUGCCCGCGACAAAAGACGACGCGGACAAAACGGCCAAGCAAGUCAAGCUCCUUGUCGAGGAGAUGUACGAGAAGCAAUCUCUACUGGACAGUACUCGUACACAGGUGCGUGAUUUGGUCAGACGUAAAAAGGGAGCAGACGGUGUCGAUAGGCUGAACGACGAGAUGGAAGAUGUUGCCAGUCGAUGGAGAUCAAUAUCAGACAGAUGCAAGGACAGAAUUAAAUUCUUAGAAGAUAUUAAAGACUUCUACGAUACGUACGAAGCUCUAAAUUCGUGGCUCGGCGCUAAAGAGCGAAUGCUGGGCGCCUUGGGACCCAUUUCAUCCGACCCACGCAUGGUUGCGAGUCAGGUGCAGCAAGUACAGGUCUUGCGAGAAGAAUUCAGGACUCAGCAACCGCAAUUGGAUCAUCUAGUACAAGUCGGAGAGAGCAUUCUAAUCACAAUUUCCAUAGCUUCUUCAGAUGGACAAAAGAUAAACGCGAAACUGCAGAGUAUUUUGCAGAGAUGGGCGGAUCAAAUGGCAAGAUUAGAUGAAAGAGCGCAGAGUUUGGGAGAUGCCGUAGAUACCAGUCGCGAGUUUGACGCUAGUCUUAAUCGAUUGCGGGAUGCCUUGCAAGGAAUUUCCGACAAUUUGGACGAGCUAACGCUUGAAAAAGAUCCUGAGGAGCAGCUUCGCAAGAUCGAGAAUUUGGAGAGGCAACUGGAAGGUCAAAGACCAUUGUUAGCGGACGCGGAGAUGGCCGGUGCGCAACUAUGCGAGGUUCUCAGUGAUCCAGCAUCGAAAUCGGAGAUUCAAGGAAAACUCGCCACAGUUGGCAAGAUGUAUAACAACUUGCAGAAGAAGUUGGAUCACAGGAAAGCUGAAAUCGAAGGAAAUCUCCGAGAUGGAAGACAGUUCGAGGCUUCCUGUAGCAGAACUCUCGGGUGGCUCGCGGAUGAACUUGGCAAUAUGUCUGAAAAGUUGCUGGUGUCCGCUGACAGGGAAAUUUUGCAACAGCAACUUGAUCAUCAUGAGCCUGUGUAUCGAAAUGUAAUGGGUAAAGAGCAUGAAGUCAUAAUGCUACUAAACAAAGGACGCGACAUGCUCGCUCGAUCUCAGAAAGCGGAAAACCGUUCUCUUCAACGUGACUUGGAUAAGAUGCAAUCGCAAUGGGAUCGCCUCAAGAAGGAUACCGUCGAGAGGCAUACGAGACUACAAACCUGCGCAGAGCAUUGCAAGAAAUAUUACAAAGCUCAGGACGUCUUCCUGCCGUGGCUUCGACAAGCUGAAGACAAAUUGGAUAGUUUGAUCCCCACCUCCUUCAGACGCAAGGACAUCGAGAAGCAACUGAAGGAGUUGUCAUCGUUCAGGAAUGAAGUGUGGAAGCACUCUGGAGAAUACGAGAAUAACAAGACGCUUGGCGAGACAUUUGUCGGAGCCUGCGACAUCGACAAACAAAACGUAAAGAAUGAGCUCAGUGCUAUGAAGACUAGAUGGGAUAAAUUAAACAACGACUUGUUGUCUAGAACGCAAUCUUUGGAAGAUACCGCACGUCAUCUGAUGGACUUCAAUGAGAACUUGCGCGAUUUGCAACACGGUUUACAGCGAUGUGAAGACAAGUUGGCUUCACAUGACGCUCUUGGUGGAGCUGCUAAAGAUCCAAAACUUCUCGAUAGAAUAAAGGCUUUACGAGAGGAAACAACGAGCUUGAAGAAACCUUUGCAAUGCGUGAGGCAACAAGCCAACGAUCUUGUCAACAAAGCCGGCGAGCAAGGUGUAGAUGCGACGCAUCUGCAAGACGAAAUCGACAGCGUUACUGAUCGCAUUAAUGACUUACAAGCGAAACUGGACGACCGAUGUAACGAGCUGCAAAGCGCAGCAACAGCCGUCGCACAAUUCAACGAUCAGGCAAAAUUGAUUAGCCAACAUCUGUCUGCUCUCGAGAAGGAUCUAGACUCCAUGAAAGCGCCUGGUAGAGAAAUCAAGAUUGUGCGAGGCCAGCUGGAGGAUAUCGCUAAAGUCAUCAGCAGAAUUAGUAAACUCUACGAAGAGAUCAGCGAUCUUGCGAAUCGUGGCGAACGUUUAGUUGAUUAUGGUUUCGCUGCUGACGCUGUGGCAACCAGAGGUCAGGUUGACGGAUUUAAACGACAAAUUGGUAAACUAGAUGAACGCGCUCGUACCAGAGAGGAGGAACUCAUUUCAACCUUAAACAAGUUGCAAGAGUUCUAUCAGUUACAUGCGAACGUAAUGGAGGGCAUUAACGACGCGAAUGAACAAGUUAGGAGGUUCAAGCCUGUCGGAUCAGAAGUGGAUUCUAUCAAAGCUCAGCAAGAAGACUUCAGGGCUCUCAAAGUUAACAAGAUCGAACCACUGGCACACGCUGUCGAUGAAUGUAACGCGCUGGGCCAAGGUCUUAUACAAACUGUAGGACGAGAUGUCAAUACUAGCAAUAUUGAGAGGGAUGUUGAUAAAAUGAAUGAGAGAUGGAACGAUUUGAAAGACAAGUUGAAUGAGCGGGAUCGCAAAUUAGAUGUUGGAUUACUGCAAUCUGGCAAGUUCCAAGAGGCCUUGGAUGGUUUAGAGAAGUGGUUGACCGAUACGGAAGAGAUGGUGUCGAAUCAAAAACCGCCGUCCUCGGAUUAUAAGGUCGUAAAAGCGCAGCUGCAAGAACAGAAGUUCCUGAAGAAGAUGCUGUUGGAUCGUCAAAACUCUAUGUCGUCUCUUUACAACAUGGGACGGGAGGUAGCUGCCGAUGCAGACCCGAAGGAACGCAAGGCCAUCGAAAAACAAUUGAACGAUCUGGUGGGCAGAUUUGAUAAUCUAACGGAAAGCGCUGCGGAGAGAAUGGACGCUCUCGAACAGGCAAUGGCGGUGGCAAAACGAUUCCAAGACAAAUUGGUACCUCUUGCUAUCUGGCUGGACAAGACGGAGAAGAAAAUCAGGGAUAUGGAGUUAGUCCCUACCGACGAGGAGAAGAUACAGCAACGUAUUAGGGAGCAUGAUAUUCUCCACGAGGACAUCAUAUCGAAGAAGCCAGACUUUAGCGAGCUCACGGAAAUAGCCAGCCAACUAAUGUCGCUCGUGGGCGAAGACGAAGCUAGCACAUUGGCCGAUAAACUUCAGGACGCAGCUGACAGAUAUGCAGCAUUGGUCGAGCGAUCCGAGGCUCUUGGCAGCUUGCUGCAGCGUUCGCGACAAGGUCUGCGCCACUUGGUUCUCACGUACCAAAGCUUACAAGCAUGGAUGGAGGAUAUGGAGAUCCGAUUGUCGAAAUAUCGUAUUCUAGCGGUGCAUAGAGACAAGUUGCUGCAGCAAAUGGAAGACCUUGCGAAUCUUACGGAACAGGUCUCCAAGCGGCAAACAGAAGUUGACAGCACUGUGGAUUGCGGCCUGGAACUCAUGAAACACAUCUCGAGCGAUGAAGCGCUUCAAUUGAAGGACAAGCUGGACUCCCUGCAACGGCGAUUCAACGAUCUUGUCACGCGCGGUUCGGAUCUUCUGAAACACGCUGAGGAGUCCUUACCGUUAGUGCAGCAAUUCCACGAUAAUCACAAUCGAUUGAUGGAUUGGAUGCAGGGUGCAGAGUCCGCUUUGCAGUGCGCCGAACCUCGCGAAGAGGAGAUUAUCCGGCUCGAGAUGGAGAUAUCAGAAUAUAGACCCGUUUUGGAUAAAAUUAACGCAGUGGGACCGCAAUUGUGCCAAAUAUCGCCGGGAGAGGGUGCUGCGACUAUCGAAGGCCUCGUGACUAGAGAUAACCGGCGAUUCGACGCGAUCGCCGAGCAGAUUCAGAGGAAAGCGGAGAGAAUUCAAUUGAGUAAGCAGCGUUCCUUGGAGGUGAUCGGCGAUAUCGACGAUCUGCUCGACUGGUUCAGAGAGGUGGACAAUCAACUGCGAGAAGCUGAACCGCCUAGCAGCGAACCUGAAAUUAUCCGAGUGCAACUGAAGGAGCAUAAAGCGCUCAACGAUGACAUAUCCAGCCAAAAGGGUAGAGUGCGAGAUGUUAUCUCGACAGCGAAAAAGGUAAUACGCGAGAAUACUCAGCACGAAGACACAUCUACGAUCAGAGACAAGAUGGAAGACCUACGCGAAACAAUGGAAAUUGUAUCAGCUCUGUCUACGGAUAGACUGGGAGCUCUGGAACAAGCUCUACCAUUGGCCGAGCAUCUUCGCGACACCCACGCUGGCUUGGUCAGCUGGCUCGAGGAGGCUGAACAACAAAUCGCUAUGUUACCGAUGCCCGCGCUGCGUCCCGACUUGAUAGCGAUGCAACAGGACAAGAACGAGCUUCUCAUACAAAGCAUCAACGAACACAAGCCACUGGUGGAGAAGCUGAAUAAAACCGGCGAGGCUCUUAUCAAAUUGUGCAACGAGGAGGAGGGCAUGAAAGUGCAGGAUAUUCUGGACAAUGAUAACGCUCGCUAUGCUGCGUUGAGAGCUGAAUUGCGAGGCCGGCAACAAGCUCUGGAACAAGCGUUGCAGGAGUCUUCGCAAUUCUCCGACAAAUUGGAGGGCAUGUUACGAGCGCUAUCUUCCACUGCUGAUCAGGUGAAUGGAGCGGAACCGAUUAGUGCUCACCCGCCUCGUUUGCGUGAUCAGAUGGAGGAGAAUGCCGCAUUAGCGGAUGAUCUUGCCCAAAGAUCCGAAGCUUAUGCAGCCGUGAAGAAAGCCGCGGACGAUGUAAUUAGCAAAGCUGGCAACAGGGCCGACCCGGCGGUGAAAGACAUUAAACGCAAGCUGGAUAAGCUCAACAAAUUAUGGACGGAUGUGCAGAAAGCCACGACCGAUCGUGGUCGCACCUUGGAUGACACUUUGGCUGUCGCCGAGAAAUUCUGGGCAGAAUUGAAUGGUGUGAUGGCUACCUUGAGGGAACUACAGGACGCGCUCGCCGGACAGGCACCACCAGCCGCUCAACCGGCUGCCAUUCAGCAACAACAAGUAGCGUUACAGGAGAUCAGGCACGAGAUCGAUCAGACCAAGCCGGAUGUUGAACAAGUCAGAGCAUCGGGACACGAACUGAUGGGUUUGUGUGGUGAACCGGACAAACCUGAAGUACGAAAGCACAUUGAGGACUUGGAUCAAGCUUGGGAUAACGUUACGGCGUUGUACGCCAGGCGCGAGGAGAAUCUGAUCGACGCCAUGGAGAAGGCAAUGGAGUUCCACGAGACACUGCAAAAUCUGUUAGAAUUCUUGCAGGAAGCUGAGGAUAGAUUCGCGGAUAUGGGCCCGCUCGGCAGCGAUAUCGAUGAGGUCAAGAAACAGAUCAAGCAACUAGCCAAUUUCAAAGCCGAGGUGGAUCCACACAUGGUGAAGGUCGAGGCGUUAAACAGGAGUCUGACAAGACAAGCAGCCGAAUUAACGGAGAGGACCUCUUCCGAACAAGCAGCAGCCAUCAAGGAACCGCUUGGCGCCGUGAACAGACGAUGGGAUGGAUUAUUACGAGGUUUGGUGGAGAGGCAACGGUUGUUGGAGAACGCACUGCUACGACUGGGUCAAUUCCAACAUGCUUUAGACGAGUUAUUGGUAUGGAUCGAGAAAACUGACAAGACAUUGGAUAAUCUCAGGCCAGUAGCUGGCGAUCCGCAAGUGAUUGAAGUUGAGUUGGCUAAACUAAAAGUUUUGGUGAACGACAUACAAGCUCAUCAGACAAGUGUUGAUACGUUAAAUGAUGCUGGUCGCCAAUUGAUCGAGGAUGGAAAAGGCACCGCGGAAGCAUCUACCACGGCUGACAAGCUAGGCACUUUGAAUCGUCGUUGGCGAGAUCUGUUACAACGCGCUGCCGAUCGUCAACGAGAACUGGAAGACGCUUUACGAGAGGCGCAAUCCUUCACUGCCGAGAUACAAGAUUUGCUGUCGUGGUUGGGUGAUGUAGAUAACAUGAUAGUAAGUUCUAAACCGGUCGGUGGUCUGCCCGAAACUGCAUCUGAUCAGUUGCAACGCUUCAUGCAAACGUACAACGAACUGGAACAAAAUCGUCCGAAGGUUGAGACGGUAUUGCAGCAAGGACAAGAAUACUUGAAGAAAGCGGACGUUACUAGCGCCGGUGGGUUGAAUCACAAUCUGCGUACGUUGAAACAGAAGUGGGACAACGUGCUUGCGCGCGCCAGCGAUAAGAAGAUAAAGUUGGAAAUCGCCCUGAAAGAAGCUACCGAGUUCGACGACGCAUUGCGGGCCUUUGUUGAUUGGUUGACCAACGCCGAAAAGAUUCUACUGAACCUCAAACCCGUCUCCAGAGUUAUGGAAACGAUAUUGCAACAAAUCGAGGAGCACAAGGCAUUCCAGAAGGACGUUGGUGUCCAUCGCGAGACUAUGUUGAAUCUCGACAAAAAGGGAACCCAUCUCAAAUACUUUUCUCAGAAGCAGGACGUGAUUCUUAUAAGAAACUUGCUCGUUAGCGUACAACAUAGGUGGGAACGAGUGGUCUCCAAAUCAGCCGAAAGAACGAGGGCUCUGGAUCAUGGUUACAAGGAGGCUAGAGAGUUCCACGACAGCUGGUCGAAUCUGAUGAAUUGGUUGGACGAUACCGAGAGGAUGUUGGACGAAGUCGCUGCCGAUGGACUUGGCGGCAAUGAUCCGGACAAGAUUAAGUCGCGCCUUAAUAAACAUCGGGAGAUACAGAAGGCGCUAAGUGCCAAGCAAAGCACGUACGAUACUACUAUGAAGAACGGCAAGAUGUUGAAGGACAAGGCGCCAAAGACCGACGAACCCGCCUUGAGAGAAUUAUUAAACGAGUUGAAGAACAAAUGGACCACAGUCUGCGGUAAAUGCGUGGAUCGGCAGAGGAAGCUGGAGGAAGCUUUGCUGUUCUCCGGACAGUUCAAAGAUGCGAUUCAGGCGUUGUUGGAGUGGCUGAGCAAGACUGAGAGGUACCUCGCUGCCACUGAACCGCUUUACGGCGAUCUGGAUACCGUUACCAAUUUAGUGGAGCAGCACAAGGCUUUCGAAAAAGAUCUGGAGUCACGUGCCUCGCAGAUGGAAUCCGUUAUUAAGACUGGCCGUGAGUUGGAAUCUAAAGCCUCCAUCGAGGACGCUUCAAUGAUCAGAUCGCAACUGGGUGAAUUGAACAGUCUUUGGGAUAGAGUGACCAGUCUCUCGUCGAGGAAGUCUCUACAGCUGGAGGAAGCUCUGAGAGAAGCUGAGCGGCUUCACAAGGCCGUUCACGUGUUGCUUGAAUGGUUGAGUGACGCGGAAAUGAAGUUGCGAUUUGCCGGACCGCUACCAGAGGACGAGCAAGAGAGCAGGAAUCAACUGAUGGAGCACGAGAGAUUCCUUCGCGAGCUGCAGGCUAAGGAGAUUGAGAAAGAUCAUACGUUAGAGCUGGCACAUAGCAUUCUCGCAAAGGCGCAUGCCGAUGGCGCCGCCGUUAUCAAACAAUGGAUCACCAUUAUUCAGUCCAGAUGGGAAGAAGUGGCGACAUGGGCUUAUCAGAGGAACCAGAGAUUGCAGGAUCAUAUGCAGGGAUUACAGGAUCUCGACAAUCUUCUCGAGGAGCUGUUAGCUUGGCUCGUAGGUUUGGAGAAUACUUUGAACGCUCUGGAAGCGGAACCAUUGCCGGACGAUAGGGCUACGCUUGAAAUGCUUAUCGCGGAUCACAGAGAGUUCAUGGAGAAUACCAGCCGAAGACAGAACGAGGUCGACCGCGUAUGCAAGGCUCGGCAGAUUAAACCGAUAAAGGAUACAAGAAAGAUAUCGAAAGUUAGAUCACCAGCGCCUAUCCGAGGCAGCCCAGGUCGUGACAGAACGCCAGACCUUUCGUUGCCGCACAUUGGUCCACGCUUCCCACCCAAAGGAAGCAAGGGAGCUGAACCAGAAUUCCGUAGUCCGAGGGUUAAGUUGCUCUGGGAUAAAUGGCGCCACGUUUGGAUGCUAGCAUGGGAACGCCAACGUCGUCUGCAAGACAAAUAUAAUUACAUUCAAGAGCUGGAUCGUGUUGCCAACUUUAGCUGGGAGGAUUGGCGCAAGCGGUUCCUGAAAUUCAUGAAUCAUAAGAAAUCCAGGCUGACUGAUCUAUUCAGGAAGAUGGAUAAGAAUAACGACGGACUCAUACCGAGGGAGGACUUUAUUCAAGGAAUUAUGAACACCAAAUUUGAGACUUCUCGUCUGGAAAUGGGCGCUGUUGCUGAUCUAUUCGAUCGUCACGGCGAAGGAUUAAUCGACUGGAAAGAAUUCAUCGCUGCUUUGCGACCUGAUUGGGAGGAGCGACGUACGUACAAUGACACAGACAAGAUACACGAUGAAGUCAAGCGGUUGGUCAUGCUGUGUACCUGUCGCCAGAAGUUCCGUGUGUUCCAAGUUGGCGAAGGGAAAUACAGGUUUGGUGACAGUCAGAAGUUGCGAUUGGUUCGAAUCUUACGGUCCACUGUUAUGGUACGCGUCGGUGGAGGCUGGGUAGCGCUAGACGAAUUCCUUCUGAAGAACGAUCCAUGCCGCGGUAAGGGAACGCAGUGCUCGCAGCGUACCUAUGGGCCAAACACGAGCUUCACGCUCAUCCUUGAGCGCCGGCACGCCAGACAGCCUUAGCGACAAUGAAAGUUCCUUCAAGGUAUCUGGUAGGAAAACCAGCACGCCUUAUAGAUCUACCGUGACACCCGGUGGUAGCCGUCCAUCUAGCAGGCCAGCCUCAAGACCUACCAGCAGACCAAGUAGCCGGCCUGCGUCGAGACAGGGAAGUAAACCGCCUAGUCGAUACGGUUCCACGCAGUCGUUAGACG